rnacentral:rRNA from 1 species
AGCGUACACAGGUGCUGCAUGGCUGUCGUCAGCUCGUGUCGUGAGAUGUUGGGUUAAGUCCCGCAACGAGCGCAACCCUACGAUGAGUUACCAGCACGUAAAGGUGGGGACUCUCAGUGGACUGCCGGCGACAAGCCGGAGGAGGGUGGGGACGACGUCAAGUCAUCAUGGCCCUCAUGUCCAGGGCGACACACGUGCUACAAUGGCCGGCACAACGGGAAGCGACGGCGCGAGUCGUAGCGGAUCCCUCAAAGCCGGUCCCAGUUCGGAUUGCAGUCUGCAACUCGACUGCAUGAAGCCGGAAUCGCUAGUAAUCGUGGAUCAGCAUGCCACGGUGAAUACGUUCCCGGGCCUU